CAGAGAUGAUGAUACAAGAGAUUGGUUUCGCUUUCAUAACUGAUGUUAUGUGAUGUCACACUUCUCUUGGCUGUCUGAUUAA